CUACGCGAUUACGUCAUGCACGCUCGCUCGUGGUACUGUGAGGAAUUGUCCCAGCAGCACCCCUUCGCCUGCCUCCGCCCCACCAGUCAUGCUACGGACAGGACCGCAACAUUUUCAGCCAAACUACAAGGAAACAUAAACACAAAGUCUCCAAUUUCACUGAACAUACCAAGUGGAACGAUUCUUCUUCUAGACACAUCUGGUGCCGCGACAUUUCAUUUGGUUAUCGGAUGUACGCAUGGGAGUGAUCCGGCAAAAGAAAAGGCAGAAGGUUGUAUCCUAUUCGUUAGUGGCAGCACAGGGGGAGGAGCCAUGAGUGAAGGGGAGGGGCUCUUCCACAGCGUGCAGGUGGGUGACUCCACCUUCACUGUGCUGACCCGCUAUCAGCAGCUCCGCGCUAUCGGGUCUGGUGCCCAGGGCAUUGUCUGCUCGGCCCUGGACAGUGUCCUUGGGGUCCCAGUGGCGGUGAAGAAACUGAGCCGGCCCUUCCAGAACCAGACCCACGCCAAGCGGGCCUAUAGGGAGCUGGUGCUGCUCAAGUGCGUCAAUCACAAAAAUAUUAUUAGGCUCCUGAAUGUCUUCACACCACAGAAUUCACUGGAGGAGUUCCAGGAUCUCUACCUGGUGAUGGAGUUGAUGGAUGCCAGUCUGUGCCAGGUCAUCCACAUGGAUCUGGACCAUGAGAGGAUGUCCUACCUGCUCUACCAGAUCCUCUGUGGCAUCAGACACCUGCACUCCGCUGGCAUUAUCCACAGGGACCUGAAGCCCAGUAACAUAGUGGUGAAGUCUGACUGUACUCUGAAGAUCCUGGACUUUGGGCUGGCCAGAACAGCCUGUACUAACUUCAUGAUGACCCCUUACGUUGUGACCCGAUACUAUAGAGCACCAGAGGUCAUCCUGGGCAUGAAGUAUAAAGAGAAUGUGGACAUCUGGUCAGUGGGAUGCAUCAUGGGAGAGAUGGUGAAGGGCAGCGUUAUAUUCCAGGGAACGGAUCACAUUGACCAGUGGAACAAGGUGAUUGAGGUUCUGGGCACGCCCCCCAUGGAGUUUAUGAACCGUUUGAUGGAGACUGUGAGGAACUAUGUGAUGAACAAGCCCCAGUACCCAGGGGUCAGCUUCUCUCAACUCUUCCCUGACUGGGCCUUCCCGGCAGAGACAGAGCAGGAUCAACUCAAGACCAGUCAAGCACGGGACCUGCUUUCCAAGAUGCUGGUGAUUGACCCAGAGAGCCGUAUUUCAGUGGAGGAUGCCCUGGAUCACCCCUACAUCCACAUGUGGUACGACCCAGGAGAGGCUGAUGCAGUGAGUCUGGCUGUAAUAUAAUAAUAAGAUCACCCCUACAUCCACAUGUGGUACGACCCAGGAGAGGCUGAUGCACCACCACCACAGAUAUCUGAUAAACAGCUGGAGGAGCGAGAACACAGCAUUGAACAGUGGAAAGAGCUGAUCUAUGACGAGUUGAUGGACUGGGAGGAGAGGAACCAGAAUGGAGUAAUGAAGGAGGACUGUGCAGAUGAAGUGGUGAACCACAGUGCUACAGCUUCCCAGUCAUCCUCUACGAGUGACUUCUCCUCAAUGUCCACUGAGCAGACCUUGGCCUCUGACACCGACAGCAGCUGUGUUGACACCCUCACAGGGGCGCUAGAGGAGUGACAGAGAACCUCUUUCCACCCCGGCAUCUGUUUUUUUUUUCAAUCAUCACUAACUAUCCAUCUUCUUAGGUAGCACUUUUCACAUGACUUUAUACUGUCUAUUUUUACUUUGGGUCCCGCUGGAUGGUAAAUCAUUCAACCGCUUUUCUUUUUUAAACUGAAAAUGAUUCCGUUUUAAAUUGAACUCUCUCUGUCACUCUUUCCCUAUCUCUGUUGUAAAUAGUCCAUUCAUACUGUACCAUGGUUCAAAUAAGUCAUGCACCUCUAGACUUGUUGUCCAAGCCAAGAGCACACGCUGUUCAAUGUGUAGUUUGACCACCUUCAGUUUCAGUAUAAAGUACUGUAUAUGCAUUAAACUAGGGCUAGGCUAUAAUGUCUUAUGACUGUUUUGUCAUCAGAAAUAUCUAAUGAUGAACAAAAGACAUUGCUGCAUGUUACUACAAAUGAAUACUUGACUACACAUAGAAGCAGCUGUGAUGCAAGAUCUUCAUGUAUUUCCAUCCAGAGGACAUUAGCCUCCUCUGUGUGAAGAAACAGUACUUGGCUCUGGUCUGGGUCUUUCCUAAUGAGGGUAAAGAGUGAUACAUUUUAUGCAUGUUAUGUGUGUUCAUGUACAUAAGUAUCUAUCUAUACUGUAUACUGUGUGUUUAAAUGUAUUGAUUGUUGUGAUGCUGAGACUGGGUUUUACAGCUAAUCCAAAUAUGCUGAGGCAUACAAACUGUACAAAAUACAUCCAUUUAUUUUGGAACAAACUAUUGUUAAAAUGCAAUGGGAGACAUGUCAGAAAUAUGUUGAUGUUUGAAAGAUGUAUUAUAAUGAAACUGAAUGGGAAAAAAGGUGAAUGGUGGAUACAUUGCACUUUCUAGACAAUUUCAGCUUAAAGUCAUUCCAAGAAAAAUAUUGAUUAAAAGAGGGAUACAAUCAUG